UAGCUGAUUGGGGGCUAGAUGAGAGUCUAGUCUGUAUUACAACAGUCAAUGCCGCGAACAUGGUGAACGCUGCAGCCCUGAACAAGUGGACCAGAUUGCAUAUGAAUAGUGAGCAAUACAUCCAAACUAUAUGAAUGCUUUAAUAAACAAGAAACUGAAACACAUAAUUAAAAAAAACUGUUACCUGGUUGAAUAUAUCACUGAAGUCUGAGAAGUGGUUGUUGUGGCAGACACUGUGGGUGUAGUGGCUGUGACUGUUGCUGGAACAGCUGUGGUUGCUGUGGGAGAACCUUUAGUUGUGGCAGCUUUUGUGUUGCUGGGAGUACCUGUAAUUGUUGAUACAGCAGCUUUUGAUGUGGUGGGACCAGAUGUGUUAGUCAUGUGAGCAGGUGAAGUUGUUGUUUUUGUAUAAACAAGACCUGUUGUGGAAACAGCUGGAUUUGUGGGGUGUGCUGCAGUUGUGGUGACAGCAGCUUUUUCUGUGGUGGGACCAGAUGUGUUAGUCAUGUGAGCAGGUGAAGUUGUUGUUUUUGUUAAAACAAGACCUGUUGUGGAAACAGCUGGAUUUGUGGGGUGUGCUGCAGUUGUUGUGACAGCAGCUUUUGAUGGAGUAACAAAGGUAGACAUGUCUGAAGGUGAGGAUGAUGCAGCAGCAACUGUUUUUGUGGGAAUAACAACAUUUGUUGUGACAUCAGGCAAUGUUUUUGAUGCAACGUAUGUUGCUGUAGGAGUUGCUGAAAUUCUUCUGACUGUAGCUGUUGUUGUGGUGGGACCAGAAGUGGAGGUCAUGUCAGCAGGCGAGGUUGUUAUUAUUGUGAAAUCUGUUGUAACAAACGCUGAUGUUGUUGUAGCAGUUCUGGUCGUUGUGUGAGCAUAUAUGGUUGCUGUCGAAGAACCUGUUGUUGUGGUAGCUUUUGUGUUAGUGGGAGUUUCUGAAACUGCUGUGACAUCAAGUGAUGUAGUUGUUGGAACAGCUGGUGUUGUGGGGGUUUCUAAAACUGUUGUGACAGCAGCUCUUGAUGUUGUGGGACCAUAUAUGUUUUGUAUGUGAGCGGUUGAGUUUGUGGUGGCAGCAAAUGUGGUUGGUGUAUCAGAUUCUUUUGUUGUUGUUGGAGCUGUGGUGCUCGUUAUAGGAUGAGAUGUGGUUGCUGUUGGAGAGCCAGUUUUUGAGGUAGCUCCUGUGUUGAAGGGAGAAGUUGACAUUGAUGUGAGAUAAGGUGAUGUUGUUGUUGAAACCAAUGUUGUUAUGGGAGUGGUUUUAAUUGUUGUGACAGCAGCUGAUGUUAUUGUUGCGACAACUGGUGUUGUGGAGGUUUUUGAAUUUUUUGUGACAGCGGCUGUUGAUGCCGAGGAUCCAGAUGUGUUAUGAAUGUAAGAAGGUGAGCUUGUUGUGGCAGUAACAGUUGUUAUUCUUGCUGUUGUUGUUUUUGUUCCAGACUCUUUUGUUGUUGAUGUUGGAGCAGUUGUAGUUGUUGUGGAUACAGAUGUGAUUGCUGUGGAAGAACCUGUUUUUGUGAUAGCUCCUGUGUUGAUGGGGGUAGUUGACAUUGAUGUGAGAUCAGGUGAUGUUGUUUUUGGAACAGUUGGUGUUGUGGGGGUUGAUGAAAUUGUUGUGACAGCUGCUGUUGGUGUUGUGGGACCAGAUGUGGUAGAUAUGUUAGCAGGAGAGGUUGUUGUGGCAGCAACUGUUGUUGUUGCUCCAGACUCUGUUGUUGUGGGAGUAGCAGAAAUUGUUGUGACAUCAAGUGAUGUUGUUGUUGCAACAGAUGUUGUUGUGGGAUUUACUGAAAUUGUUGUGACAGCAGCUGAUGUUGUUAUGGGACCAGAUGUGGUUGUCAUAUCAGCAGGUGUGGUUGCUGUUUCUGUAAAAACUGUUGUUCCCAACGUUGUUGUUGUUGGUAGAGCUGUUGUGGUCGUUGAGGGAACAGAUGUGGUUUCUGCUGGUGAACCUGUUGUUGUGGUAGCCCCUGUGUUGAUGGG
ensembl:lncRNA